UACGUAGGGGUCUAGCGUUGUCCGGAAUCAUUGGGCGUAAAGAGCUCGUAGGCGGUUCGGCAAGUCGGAUGUGAAAUCUCCACGCUCAACGUGGAGGGGCCAUUCGAAACUGCCGUGACUCGAGUCCGGUAGGGGAGUGCGGAAUUCCUGGUGUAGCGGUGAAAUGCGCAGAUAUUAGGAGGAACACCGGUGGCGAAGGCGCUGCUCUGGGCCGAUACUGACGCUGAGGAGCGAAAGCGUGGGUAGCAAACAGG
rnacentral:rRNA from 1 species